GACGAACGCUGGCGGCGUGCUUAACACAUGCAAGUCGAGCGGAAAGGCCCUUCGGGGUACUCGAGCGGCGAACGGGUGAGUAACACGUGGGUAACCUGCCCUUCACUCUGGGAUAACUCCGGGAAACCGGGGCUAAUACCGGAUACGACCACUUUAGGCAUCUUCGGUGGUGGAAAGUUUUUCGGUUGGAGGAUGGACCC
rnacentral:rRNA from 1 species